rnacentral:rRNA from 1 species
GAAGGGKGCUAGCGUUGUUCGGAAUUACUGGGCGUAAAGCGCACSUAGGCGGAUAUUUAAGUCAGGGGUGAAAUCCCAGAGCUCAACUCUGGAACUGCCUUUGAUACUGGGUAUCUUGAGUAUGGAAGAGGUAAGUGGAAUUGCGAGUGUAGAGGUGAAAUUCGUAGAUAUUCGCAGGAACACCAGUGGCGAAGGCGGCUUACUGGUCCAUUACUGACGCUGAGGUGCGAAAGCGUGGGGAGCAAACWGGAUUAKAUACCCUGGUAGUCCACGCCRUAAACGAUGAAUGUUARCCGUCSGGCARUAUACWGWUCKGUGGCGCAGCUAASGRRWWAAACAUUCCRCCUGGGGAGUACGGUCGCAAGAUUA